AUUGAACGCUGGCGGCAUGCCUUACACAUGCAAGUCGAACGGCAGCGGGGGAGAAGCUUGCUUUUCCUGCCGGCGAGUGGCGAACGGGUGAGUAAUACAUCGGAACGUGCCCUGUAGUGGGGGAUAACUAGUCGAAAGAUUAGCUAAUACCGCAUACGACCUGAGGGUGAAAGUGGGGGACCGCAAGGCCUCAUGCUAUAGGAGCGGCCGAUGUCUGAUUAGCUAGUUGGUGGGGUAAAGGCCUACCAAGGCGACGAUCAGUAGCUGGUCUGAGAGAACGAUCAGCCGCACUGGGACAGAGACACGGCCCAGACGCCUACGGGAGGCAGCAGUGGGGAAAUUUGGACAAUGGGCGAAAGCCUGAUCCAGCAAUGCCGCGUGUGUGAAGAAGGCCUUCGGGUUGUAAAGCACUUUUGGCCGGAAAGAAGUGGCUCUGGUUAAUACCUGGGGUCGAUGACGGUACCGGAAGAAUAAGGACCGGCUAACUACGUGCCAGCCGCCGCCGUAA
rnacentral:rRNA from 1 species